AAUGAACGCUGGCGGCGUGCCUAACACAUGCAAGUCGUACGAGAAAGGGGCUUCGGCCCUGAGUAGAGUGGCGCACGGGUGAGUAACGCGUGGGUAAUCUGCCCUUGGAUUUGGGAUAACUCUGCGAAAGUGGAGCUAAUACCGGAUAGUCUGGCUUUAAUUGAUAAGUCGGUAAAGGAUGCCUCUGCAUAUGCAUUCGUCCAAGGAUGAGCCCGCGUCUCAUUAGCUAGUUGGUAGGGUAAUGGCCUACCAAGGCAACGAUGAGUAGCUGGUCUGAGAGGACGAUCAGCCACACUGGAACUGAAACACGGUCCAGACUCCUACGGGAGGCAGCAGUGGGGAAUAUUGCGCAAUGGGCGAAAGCCUGACGCAGCAACGCCGUGUGAGGGAUGAAGGCUUUCGGGUCGUAAACCUCUGUCGGAAGGGAAGAACGGGUGAGGGUCUAAUAGGCCUUCAUUUUGACGGUACCUUUAGAGGAAGCACCGGCUAACUCCGUGCCAGCAGCCGCAGUAACAC
rnacentral:rRNA from 1 species